GCAUAUCAAUAAGCGGAGGAAAAGAAACCAACAGGGAUUACCUCAGUAACGGCGAGUGAAGCGGUAAAAGCUCAAAUUUGAAAUCUGGCUCUUUUAGAGUCCGAGUUGUAAUUUGUAGAAGAUGCUUCGGGUGUGGUUCCGGUCUAAGUUCCUUGGAACAGGACGUCAUAGAGGGUGAGAAUCCCGUAUGUGACUGGAUACCUAUGCUCAUGUGAAGCUCUUUCGACGAGUCGAGUUGUUUGGGAAUGCAGCUCAAAAUGGGUGGUAUAUUUCAUCUAAAGCUAAAUAUUGGCCAGAGACCGAUAGCGCACAAGUAGAGUGAUCGAAAGAUGAAAAGCACUUUGGAAAGAGAGUUAAACAGUACGUGAAAUUGUUGAAAGGGAAGCGCUUGCAAUCAGACUUGCACUUGGUGUUCAUCGGGGUCUCGUGCCCCGUGUACUUCAUCAAGUUCAGGCCAGCAUCAGUUUGGGUGGUUAGAUAAAGGCUUAGGGAAUGUGGCUUUCUUCGGGAAGUGUUAUAGCCCUAGGUGCAAUGUAGCCUACCUGGACUGAGGACCGCGCUUCGGCUAGGAUGCUGGCGUAAUGGUUGUAAGCGACCCGUCUUGAAACACGGACCAAGGAGUGUACCUAAUAUGCGAGUGUUUGGGUGUUAAACCCAUACGCGUAAUGAAAGUGAACGCUGGUGAGAACCCUUAAGGGUGCAUCAUCGACCGAUCUUGAUGUCUUCGGAUGGAUUUGAGUAAGAGCAUAUUGGGUGCGACCCGAAAGAUGAGUGAACUAUACGUGAAUAGGGUGAAGCCAGAGGAAACUCUGGUGGAGGCUCGCAGCGGUUCUGACGUGCAAAUCGAUCGUCAAAUUUGCGUAUAGGGGCGAAAGACUAAUCGAACCAUCUAGUAGCUGGUUCCUGCCGAA
rnacentral:rRNA from 1 species